AAUGGGGGAAACCCUGACGCAGCAACGCCGCGUGAGUGAUGAAGGCUUUCGAGUCGUAAAACUCUGUCUUCGGGGACGAUAAUGACGGUACCCGAGGAGGAAGCCCCGGCUAACUACGUGCCAGCAGCCGCGGUAAUACGUAGGGGGCAAGCGUUGUCCGGAAUCACUGGGCGUAAAGGGCGCGUAGGCGGUUUGUUAAGUCAGGUGUGAAAGUUUUCAGCUUAACUGGAAAAGUGCACUUGAAACUAACUUACUUGAGUACUGGAGAGGUAAGCGGAAUUCCUAGUGUAGCGGUGAAAUGCGUAGAUAUUAGGAAGAACACCGGUGGCGAAGGCGGCUUACUGGACAGAGACUGACGCUGAGGCGCGAAAGCGUGGGGAGCGAA
rnacentral:rRNA from 1 species